rnacentral:rRNA from 1 species
AUUGAACGCUGGCGGCAUGCCUUACACAUGCAAGUCGAACGGCAGCACGGGUGCUUGCCCCUGGUGGCGAGUGGCGAACGGGUGAGUAAUACAUCGGAACAUGUCCUGUAGUGGGGGAUAGCCCGGCGAAAGCCGGAUUAAUACCGCAUACGAUCCACGGAUGAAAGCGGGGGACCUUCGGGCCUCGCGCUAUAGGGUUGGCUGAUGGCUGAUUAGCUAGUUGGUGGGGUAAAGGCCUACCAAGGCGACGAUCAGUAGCUGGUCUGAGAGGACGACCAGCCACACUGGGACUGAGACACGGCCCAGACUCCUACGGGAGGCAGCAGUGGGGAAUUUUGGACAAUGGGCGAAAGCCUGAUCCAGCAAUGCCGCGUGUGUGAAGAAGGCCUUCGGGUUGUAAAGCACUUUUGUCCGGAAAGAAAUCCUUGGCUCUAAUACAGUCGGGGGAUGACGGUACCGGAAGAAUAAGCACCGGCUAACUACGUG